AUACGGAGGAUCCGAGCGUUAUCCGGAUUUAUUGGGUUUAAAGGGUGCGCAGGCGGCCAUUUAAGUCAGCGGUUAAAUCGUGGGGCUCAACCCCAUUCUGCCGUUGAUACUGGGUGGCUUGAUUGCGGUCGAGGUUGGCGGAAUUCGUUGUGUAGCGGUGAAAUGCAUAGAUAUGACGAAGAACACCGAUUGCGUAGGCAGCUGACCAGACCGAAAAUAGCGCUCAUGCACGAAAGUGCGGGGAUCGAACAGGAUUAGAUACCCUGGUAGUCCGCACAGUAAACGAUGAAUACUUGUUUUCGGCGAUAGAAUGCCGGAGGCAAAGCGAAAGCGAUAAGUAUUCCACCUGGGGAGUACGCCGGCAACGGUGAAGCUCAAAUGAAUUGACGGGG
rnacentral:rRNA from 1 species